GGGAGUACAGGCGUGAACCACAGCGCCCAGCUGUAGUUGGGUGUUUAACAGUAACAAAUGUGUGGACAGCCGCCACCCCCAGGGACAGUGGCGACAGGACAGCAUGCGAACCUAUGAACGGGAAGCCCUGAAGAAAAAGUUUAUGCGAGUACAUGAUGCGGAGUCCUCCGAUGAAGACGGCUAUGACUGGGGUCCGGCCACUGACCUGUGACCUCUCGAAGGCUGCCAGCUGGUCCGUCCUCCUUCUCCCUCCCUGGGGCUGGGACUCAGUUUCCCAUACAGAACCCACAACCUUACCUCCCUCCGCCUGGUCUUUAAUAAACAGAGUAUUUUCACA
rnacentral:lncRNA from 1 species